AAGGGAGCCGUCGAACCUAGAAGCUUGCCUGUGCUUCUAGCGGAGGCGUCAUUUGAACGGGCUGGUCAUUGCGAGUCGGGUUCGGCGCGAUGACGAGAUAAAGAACCACUAGCGUUGGUGCGAGCCUGUUUGUGGGCGCAAACCAAGGCGAAUUUCAAACCACAAACUACGCACGUAGAUGUCAUUCUGGACCGUUUUCGGACGUGGGUUCGAUUCCCACCGCCUCCACCA
rnacentral:tmRNA from 1 species